rnacentral:rRNA from 1 species
UGGGGAAUCUUGCACAAUGGGCGAAAGCCUGAUGCAGCGACGCCGCGUGCGGGAUGAAGGCCUUCGGGUUGUAAACCGCUUUCAGCAGGGACGAGGCCGCAAGGUGACGGUACCUGCAGAAGAAGCCCCGGCUAGCUACGUGCCAGCAGCCGCGGUAAUACGUAGGGGGCAAGCGUUAUCCGGAUUCAUUGGGCGUAAAGCGCGCGUAGGCGGUUUGUUAGGUCAGGAGUUAAAUCUGGGGGCUCAACCCCUAUCCGCUCCUGAUACCGGCAGGCUUGAGUCUGGUAGGGGAAGGCGGAAUUCCAAGUGUAGCGGUGAAAUGCGUAGAGAUUAGGAGGAGCACCGGUGGCGAAAGCGGCUUUUUGGCCUGCAACUGACACUGAGGCGCGAAAGCGUGGGGAGCAAACAGG